AGUGAACGCUGGCGGUAGGCCUAACACAUGCAAGUCGAACGAGUGGGGACGGGUGAGUAACACGUGGGUAACCUCCCAUCAGAGGGGAUAACACUUGGAAACAGGUGCUAAACCGAUACUGCUGGAUGGACCCGCGGUGCAUUAGCUAGUUGGUGAGGUAACGGCUCACCACGGCCACGAUGCAUAGCCGACCUGAGAGGGUGAUCGGCCACACUGGGACUGAGACACGGCCCAGACUCCUACGGGAGGCAGCAGUAGGGAAUCUUCGGCAAUGGACGAAAGUCUGACCGAGCAACGCCGCGUGAGUGAAGAAGGUUUUCGGAUCGUAAAACUCUGUUGUUAGAGAAGCGGUAUCUAACCAGAAAGCCACGGCUAACUACGUGCCAGCAGCCGCGGUAAUUC
rnacentral:rRNA from 1 species